CGCGGGGCCCCGGCGGAGGGGCGCUGCCGCCGCAGGGGGCUGGCCUGGCGGAUGCGGCGAGAACGCGCGGCAGUGCUGUUUGCCAGGUUAAUCUAGAAGCUCGUUAUGCUAGUAAGCUGCGUCUGUAUGCACAGAAGACAUCUGAAGGGAAACGACAGAGAUGUGGGGUUGACAGUCUCACAUAAAAGAAUACAAAGUGGGAAGAAUGUGUCUAAGUCCCUAAGGAAUCUUCCAGCCUGAGGGUCCUGCCUCUUCUUGCCCUGGAGGAAGUCCGGGCCCAGCAGAAAGAGCUUCAUUCAGCUUGUUGGAGCCCUGGAGAGAUGGAAAGAGAGGGGGGCCGUGCUCAGGUGCCUGAGGACUCAAACUCGAGCUGAGCACCAUGCAAGGCCAGCAUUAGGGGAUCCUGCCACGAACCACUUUAAAGAGACCAGCUUGACUCCUGCCUUUCACGUACGAUGGUAAGAAAUUCAGGUAAUGGUCACAUUGCUGUGAAAGACUUGCCUCUCUACAGGACACAUUCGGCAUGGUCUAAGUACUGUCUACAGGCGACCCUUCCACGGGCCAGCGUUUUUAAGAAAGAUGAAGUUCAGGGGCACGGGGGUGGCUCGGUCAGUUAAGCGUCUGACUUCAGCUCCGGUCAUGAUCCCGCCAUUUGUGAGUUCAAACCCCACACUGGGCCCGCUGCUGUCUGCACGGAGCCCGCUUCGAUUCUCUGUCACCUCUUUCCCCUCCCCCUCCCCCC